AUGGGGCACCCUGCCCUUUUUUAACCAAUGCCGAAUCGACGACCUAUGUAUAAAAAAGAGAAAUUUUUUGGAUUUGAAGAAAAAAAAGAAUUCUAUUAAUUUUCAUUUUCCAUUUAUUUAGUUAGUUUUUCUUAAUGAAAUUGAAAUUAUUAACUAGAGGGCAAAUAAAAAUAAAGAAACAACUUUGCUGACCAUGAUAUAUUUUUAUCUAGGCGGAAGAGUCCUCUUAAUAUUUAUCUAGUCUUAUAUAGGUUUCGGUAUAUUGAAAUAUAAACAUAAAAAAGAAGAUAGAGGAUAGGCUCAUUACUUAAAAAAAGAUAUGGAAAUAGCUAUCGAUUUUCAACAGACGAGAUCGGAUAGUAGAAUAGAGAGAAGGAUUUGCUGCUUCUUUUUUUUGUAAGGACUUAGGUUCUUGAAACACCUACUCUUAAGAGUUCAGUAGGGUUGAAAUUGGAUCAGAGAUCAGAGAUGUUAGGUUUACUGAGUUGACCAUGCACCACAUCUCCCUCUGGAUGAAGCCAACAGGUCUCAGACAAGAGUAGUAUCUGUGGCUUCAUCGAAAACUAUCAGCCAAAAUCCCUAUCAAAGAGCUGACGAAGGGGAUGAGCGGAAGAGGUCGUCUACUGGACGCGGUUCAACUAGCGGGGCAGCUUUCUUCCCACCGCGUCCUUCCUUGUGUGUCGGAGAUACAAAGCGAGUCCAAUGGAAGACACAUAAAAUGUAAUAUUGCUUCUUUGGAACAUGAAGGAAAUGUUAUACAAGAUGAGAAAGAGGCGAAAUUGUAGCUUCCGAAUCUCGCUUAAUUGAAUCUCCUGCUCCAAGUAGAAUUUCCAGGCGUUCCGUAUACGAACCUCUUCAAACAGGGCUUAUUGCUAUCGAUUCGAUGAUCCCUAUAGGGCGCGGUCAGCGAGAGUUCAUUAUUGGGGACAGACAGACUGGCAAAACAGCCCGCUCGUGUUCCGUUUUCCUUGUGGUUCCCGUAGUCGAAGCAGCUUAAAGAAGGUCAGGUUUGGAACUCGUGAGGGAUCUUUCGUUGCACAGGUUUUGGAACAAACAGACUGAUGGGAAGGUGUGUAGGCUCAAGAAAUCUUUGUAUGGCUUGAAACAGUCGCCACGGGCGUGGACAGGUUCAGGAGAGUUGUUUGUGGUACAAGUACUGAAGCCCCUAUCUUGAUAUAGAAUAGAAGUGAGUUCACACUAAAAAUAGAAGAAGCCCUAUGAUUUUUUAGCCCUGCUAUCAAUCACUUCGGUAAAGGGAUCGAAAGAUUAUGGUCUGAAAUAGAGAUUUGACGGUUCUGUUCGGAGUUUCGGGUUGAUCGGAAAAAAACACCCUAAUUAAGACUUUUGUAUAGUUUGUGUCAACCUGAGUUUGGUUAAGUGCCCGCCCGCCUACACCUGCUUCAGAAUGAGAAUCUUCGACAGAGAUCGUUCCUUCAGUUUAGCAAUCAAUUAGAUCCAUACUGACUUAGCUUGAAGCAUCCCUAAGGACUCUAGCUAAGACCUUUUUGAGACCCUGGGCGCAUGGCUUUCUCUAACGAAGCUAAUGCCGAAAAUUAAAGACCUUAAACGGAAAGACACAGGAGGUGGCGAAAAACGAAAAAAGAGAAAGAGCUUACAAACUUCUCUGAACCCGGUAGCCAGCGGAGCCCUUAUUCAUGGAAUCUGAGAAUGCUGCCCCCAAUCCGUAGCUGAGGACGAACUCAACUCAUAAGCUUUUUUUGAACCAAGCACCUGUUGUAGAAAUGAAAAACCACCCACUAGCACUUAUUUUGUAACUUGUUCGGUGAUCAAGAACACGCGCAUAGGGAGCACAAGAAUCGGGAUCCUCGCAGUAGGCUGGACCAAAAUCCAGCCGAGAGAGGGCAGCCUUUAGAAGCAACAGGUUGGGAAACCAAGAGAAGGCUUCGCCUUUUCUUCCCAAGCGCUCCCUAGGAGGGCAGUCUACCACAAGAUAGAGUUUGAGCCUGGAGCCAAAGCCCCAACCCCUGCAAGUCAAGUUUGGGGGGAGGCGGGCGUCGACCCAACCUUAUGAGUAUUCGGACUAUAACAGUUCCGACAUUUGGGAAAAUGACAGAAACAGAAAAUGGGUUUCUAGCUGCAUAAGCACAAUUAUACAGAAAGCAGAGCGCGGUUCCGGCUAAAACCAACUCUGCGAGGAAAGCAGAACUCAGCGGUGACUGAUCCGCUCGGUCAAAUUCCACAAGCAUUCCGUCCAUUGAACCCGGGAAAACAAAAGGAUCCAUCGUGACUCCCCCGAGUCCUAGUAGACUAGUCCAAGUAGUCCGGGACAAUAGCGUCCCGUCUCUUCGCUGACCCCUGGCACACAAUCACUAUAAGACAAAGCAAGACAAACCUCAUCAUACAUUGCGUACCGUGCAUUUUUCCUCUUCCUUCCAUACUGUGCACGAGGCGCUUUUUUACCCUUUGAUAAGUAGCCACAAUGCCUGAAUGGCCUCCUAUGGGAGAGUUGUGAGGAGAAAAAAGUAUCAAGAAGUUCUUCCACUGCUUCCAGUUAGCGAAGUCUCCAGCCCCAUAAAUAUUAGUUAAUGCGUGAUGCGUAAAUCAAUAACUAAAACUAAAGUGCCGAUCAUCCCAUGCUACCACAGGAUUUUUCCGCUGCCCUCCACAAGGUACAUCUUGCGCCUAUGGGCCGCUAUAACUAUCCAAGAAGACACUCGAGGGUAGUAGUUAUGAAUCCAGGGCAAUCAACCACUAUCUAAAAACCCAGGUCAGUCUCUUCAGUCCGGCGCAUGCCUCAAAUUCAUUUUUCCUUUGAAUUACUCAUUUUUUUGAAUUUCGCACCGGAAACUUUUCUAGGAGAAGUUCGAAUCCGUUCCGUUCGGAUUCUCAUAUGUGUUGUCAUUCCAGUACAGCUAAUCCGUGAACAGCUAACCAUCGUACUGUCAAAACCGUUGCAAAAUGAUGUGAUGAAAGAAGCUCGUAUUUCGGUCUCCAUGGCGGAGCCAAUUAGCCCUUCCUCUUUGCAGCCAUUAAUCCGCUUUCAAGUAGAGCAUACUCGGUAGAAAGGAGGUGGCGGAGCUGGGAAGAGGAGACUGGCCAGAUCGCCUUCUUGAGGCUCUCUGGGCUUAUCGGACGUCAAUCUGUAUAGCCACUGGUCCCCUUCUCCUUAGUCGUUGGCAUGGACGCCAUUCUUCCCAGUGAACUCGCAGCCAGAAUAAAACAAAGGAAAAGAAAUAGAACGUACCUCCUUAAAUAAAUAUCUCACCUAUCAAACUCAAGCAAGAGUCGAACCGCUAGCUUUUUGUGGACAUGGGAACCGGCUGGGACACCCUCAAACCCCCUUUUAUUCUCAAAAAAGGGAUCGGCGGAUAAAAGCGGACGUGGGGACUCGGGUCGGGGCACAGCGUAACUAAGAGAGCCAUUCCAUUUAGGGCGAGACAGAAUGGGCGGGCACAAGUGGUCUGGUGUCCGAGCCGAUUGGUCAGGCCUUGAAAUGCCCUCGAGGACCUGGGUUUUUUUUACCCGUUUUUCCUAGCUCGCAUUUUCCAGGUUAAGAUCCCUGUAAAUUUCUUCCAAUUUGGUUUCGGGCAGCUUAUGAUUUCGACAGGAUCUCAGAACAUUCUUUAUUUGCUUUUUCAACAACGAAAUGGAGGGUACUUCUGGGUUGGGCGGGGUGCGGCUUGCGGAUGGCUCCGACCGAAACCCAUCUUUUCCAUCGGCGUCUUGACGUCCCACUUUGUUUUUUCGUGGAUCAUCAUCUCCUGGCGUAGCGGAAGCACUCGACGAGGCCUCUGCGACAGAAGAGAUUCUUCCCCAUUUCUGCCCGGACGAUUCCUUCAAAUAAAUAAAAAUAAAAGUGAAGAGGAAAACGCAUAACCAGAAGAAAAAGAUAUCGUGAUGUAAAAUGAUCAUGGGGACACAUUGUUUUUAGGACCGACAAUUUCCUGCACUGCUUAAACCAAGAAAAAGAUACAUACUAGUUUUCAUAGGUAGGCCUCUCUCUCUCCUCGUGAGCCACUUAUUUCUCCGAAAUCAGAGAUCAGAGUGAUUUUCCCCCUUUUUCCCAAAUAGUCGACGGUCUUACACCAUUGGGAUACUUCGGAUAAACUUGAGUACAUAUAUGAGAGACCGGUGCUAAAACCUUUUCUCGAGAUAUCUUCCAGAUUCUUAGGGUCCUUGCUCCGCCCUGGUGUAUAUCCCGGAGUACUCCUAUGGCCGAUCUGUCACCCAUACAUGAAGGCCUUGGCCCCGUCCCGUGUGGAGAAUGCCCCCCUUACGGCACGGCUUAGUCUGUUAUUUUCUUUUGUCAGAGUGGAUUCGGACCAUCUUGCCUUGGUAGAGCGAAACUUUGAACCCAACACAAGCAACUCUCCCGGUUUAGCGAUAUUGAUGGGUUCCAGCCUCAUUCCACUAGCCCUAAAAGCAUUCUAAAUAUAUUGCCUUGCACUGGUGUUCGCUGUCAAGAAGCUACGGCACUACAUGAUAGCACAUCGGGUCACCCUCAGUGGAGUAAAAUGGAUUCAAAUGCCGCAUUGCAAGUGAACAAAAGAAACCAGUGGAAAUAGAAAGAGAAUGAACAAGCUCGCACCCUGCGGUGGAGUCGACCAGUUUAGUCCUUGUACUUCGGUGGAACCAAAUUCCAGUAUAUGGAUUGCAAACCUUUUCUGCUUUGGGUCUUAAGUGAAUGAAAGGGCUGCACUAAGCCCGGCACUUUUUGGGCUUCUUCAUGAAUCUAGUUUUCAGGGUAUUGGAUAGGCUGGUCCGCUGGUUGAAGUCAUUGCAGGGUGUGCUACGGACAGCUAUUGUUCCAGGGCAGCAUUCCCGCUUAUUCUGAUUGGAGUGAUGUGUGGUACCGGGGAUAAUGCAAUUGAUGGUGCUUGUGGCCCCUCGGGUGCGCGGUUACUCUCGGAUGGUUCACGACAAUUCCAGGUAGUUUCUACUAAUAGCUCAUUUUCCUGUUAUUACUGAGCUGCUGCUCUUUUUUCUCUAAUUCCCUUCUCAGAACGAACUGUUCGACCUUGAUUUCUUGGCUUUGAUGUUGUUAUCACAAUCAGGUUGCCAUAACACGACCCGAACAAAGGCUAGACCGAAGGUCCCGUCCCACGGGUUAGGUGCUUAGCUGAAGGUGGAAGGCGAAGAGUUUGAACAGCCUCACUUAACCCUGGUUCGGUAACCUUUCUAGCGCCCCAUACUAGAACUCUAUGAUAAGAUCUUUCAGUCGAUCAGACGGCCGAGGCCUUUAAUAAGGUCCGGUUGUGCCAACGAGUUCUUCUAGUUAUGAAUCGCCGUAGGGAGGUAGCAUUACAUUUUUAUUAGCAAAAUAGAGCUCCUCAUAGAAAAGAAUGGCGAAACCCGUUAUAACCCCGAUUGGAAGGGCAGGCCAGUCUGAGGCUCUCGCUAACAAGACGGACUUCUUCCUCUGGCUCUGCCAGGCUAUGCUGCUCGCCUAAAUCGGCAACAGGGAAAUCAGGAACUCAAACUAAUAGCUUCCUUGGUCUCUGAACAGAGCACCUACAUACUGGCAUUCGGAGCUAGGAGCAGAGAAGAGAAGUCAAUCGGAAGAAUCGUAAAAGCCUGGUCCACUUUUCUAGUUGCUGUGGAAAGAAUGUUGAGCAAAUGAGUUUAAGGGGUGGUUUUCUGUUUACUUUUUUUCAGCCUACGUCGUCUGGUCUAGGCAACCCGAAAGCGUUGUUUAACAAAGACAAGUCUGAAUUUGAAACGCAAUCCGGCAGCCUCUCCACUCCCAUGCCUUUCUUGGUCGGACCAACCCAACCGGCGAUUUCCGACAAGUCUUUCUGCUUAGAGCAAGAAGCGGAACCAAAAUAAAGGUCGUUCCGCCCCUUGUCCCCGAAGAUGGGUAAUAUGUUCUCAUACAACCUAAAGGAAAGGAAUAGAAUGAUCCAUAGUCGUACCUACUUGAGGGCACCGAAUGCAUACAGCUUACGUCAACUCUGGGCAGCUAUCUUAUUCCAAAGAAUCUCGCUCCCUAAAAGGUCAACCAGUGAAUCAAAGGCCUUAUAGGUAUUCACACCACCGGAUGAAAUUGAA
rnacentral:lncRNA from 1 species